UACAACAUAGUGUUAAUUUACCAAAUCCCAUUAUAACUCUGCAAUUAAGCACGCUUAAGCUAUAGUAGUACUGGGAUGGGUGACCACAUGGGAAGUCCUAGUGUUUUAU
rnacentral:rRNA from 1 species